rnacentral:antisense_RNA from 1 species
GGUAUAUAUCCUUUGGUUUAGGUGUACAGCUUGUGUAACGACGCCGCUGGUAUACGCCCCCAAAAUAAAGAGCCUUGAGUACUAGAAGAAAAGCACCUAUACCUAACAAGAUUAAAUGAAAACCCAAAAGGUGUUCAUUUCCAAAAAAUAUCCUGUUGUAAUUUCCUUA